rnacentral:rRNA from 1 species
AGGGUUCGAUUAUGGCUCAGGACGAACGCUGGCGGCGUGCUUCACACAUGCAAGUCGAGCGAAGCGAACGGGACAGCUUGCUGUUUUGUUUGACUGAGCGGCGAACGGGUGAGUAACACGUGGGUGACCUGCCCGAGAGACUGGGAUAACAGCCUGAAAGGGCUGCUAAUACCGGAUGAUAUCGUAUAGAUUUUUCUGUAUGAUCAAAGUGUUUAGCGCUCUCGGAUGGGCCCGCGUUCCAUUAGUUUGUUGGUAGGGUAAUGGCCUACCAAGGCGACGAUGGGUAGCCGGUCUGAGAAGGAUGGUCGGCCACACUGGGACUGAGACACGGCCCAGACUCCUACGGGAGGCAGCAGUGGGGAAUUUUGCGCAAUGAGGGGAACCCUGACGCAGCGACGCCGCGUGGGUGAUGAAGGCCUUCGGGUUGUAAAGCCCUGUCUGGGGGGAAGAUAAUGACGGUACCCCUGGAGGAAGCCCCGGCUAACUACGUGCCAGCAGCCGCGGUAAGACGUGGGGGGCGAGCGUUGUCCGGAAUUAUUGGGCGUAAAGGGCGUGUAUGCGGCCUAUCAAGUCGGCUGUGAAAUUCCUCGGCUCAACCGGGGGCCUGCAGUUGAAACUGGUGGGCUUGAGUGCAGAAGACGAGGGUGGAAUUCCUGGUGUAGCGGUGAAAUGCGUAGAUAUCAAGAGGAACACCGGUGGCGAAGGCGGCCUUCUGGUCUGUUACUGACGCUGAGGCGCGAAAGCUAGGGGAGCGAACAGGAUUAGAUACCCUGGUAGUCCUAGCUGUAAACGCUGGGUACUAGGUGUAGGGGGUUUAAAUACCUUCUGUGCCGCAGUUAACGCAUUAAGUACCCCGCCUGGGGAGUAUGACCGCAAGGUUGAAACUCAAAGGAAUUGACGGGGGCCCGCACAAGCGGUGGAGCAUGUGGUUUAAUUCGAAGCAACGCGAAGAACCUUACCACGGCUUGACAUCUACCGGAAGACUUAUGGAAACAUGGGUUGUUCUUCGGAACUGGUAGAACAGGUGGUGCAUGGUUGUCGUCAGCCUCGUGUCGUGAGAAUGUAGGGUUAAGUCCCGCAACGAGCGCAACCCUUAUCCUUAGUUGCCAUCGGGUUAUGCCGGGCACUCUAAAGAGACUGCCGGUGACAAACCGGAGGAAGGUGGGGAUGACCUCAAAUCAUAAUUGCCCUUUAUGUCCUGGGCUACACACGUGCUACACAUGGCCUGCCACACCGAGUCUGCAAUGUCCCGAGGCGGACCUAAUCCCUUAACAGCAGAUCUCAGAUUCCGAGUGAUGAGAGGAGUACAACUCGCUCUCGAUCAUGAAGUCGGAAUCGCUAGUAAUCGCGAAUCAGCAUGUCGCGGUGAAUACGUUCCCGGGCCUUGUACACACCGCCCGUCACACCACGAGAGCCGGCAACACCCGAAGCCGGUGAGCCAACCUUUUUAAGGAGGCAGCCGUCUAAGGUGGGGUUGGUGAUUGGGGUGAAGUCGUAACAAGGUAACC